AUUGAACGCUGGCGGCAUGCCUUACACAUGCAAGUCGAACGGCAGCACGGGUGCUUGCACCUGGUGGCGAGUGGCGCACGGGUGAGUAAUACAUCGGAACAUGUCCUGUAGUGGGGGAUAGCCCGGCGAAAGCCGGAUUAAUACCGCCUACGAUCUACGGAUGAAAGCGGGGGACCUUCGGGCCUCGCGCUUUAGGGUUGGCCGAUGGCUGAUUAGCUAGUUGGUGGGGUAAAGGCCUACCAAGGCGACGAUCAGUAGCUGGUCUGAGAGGACGACCAGCCACACUGGAACUGAGACACGGCCCAGACUCCUACGGGAGGCAGCAGUGGGGAAUUUUGGACAAUGGGCGAAAGCCUGAUCCAGCAAUGCCGCGUGUGUGAAGAAGGCCUUCGGGUUGUAAAGCACUUUUGUCCGGAAAGAAAUCCUUGGCCCUAAUACGGUCGGGGGAUGACGGUACCGGAAGAAUAAGCACCGGCUAACUACGUG
rnacentral:rRNA from 1 species